AGAGUUUGAUCCUGGCUCAGAUUGAACGCUGGCGGAAUGCUUUACACAUGCAAGUCGAACGGCAGCACGGGAGCUUGCUCCUGGUGGCGAGUGGCGAACGGGUGAGUAACACGUCGGAACGUAUCCAUGUAAUGGGGGAUAACGCAGCGAAAGCUGUGCUAAUACCGCAUACGCCCUACGGGGGAAAGCAGGGGAUCUUCGGACCUUGCGUUAUUGGAGCGGCCGACGUCUGAUUAGCUAGUUGGUGGGGUAAAGGCCUACCAAGGCGACGAUCAGUAGCUGGUCUGAGAGGAUGAUCAGCCACACUGGAACUGAGACACGGUCCAGACUCCUACGGGAGGCAGCAGUGGGGAAUUUUGGACAAUGGGGGCAACCCUGAUCCAGCCAUUCCGCGUGAGUGAAGAAGGCCUUCGGGUUGUAAAGCUCUUUCAGCAGGGAAGAAACGAUUCUGGCUAAUACCUGGGAUUAAUGACGGUACCUGCAGAAGAAGCACCGGCUAACUACGUGCCAGCAGCCGCGGUAAUACGUAGGGUGCGAGCGUUAAUCGGAAUUACUGGGCGUAAAGCGUGCGCAGGCGGUUUUUCAAGUCUGAUGUGAAAUCCCCGGGCUUAACCUGGGAACUGCGUUGGAAACUGAAAGACUAGAGUGCGGCAGAGGGGGGUAGAAUUCCACGUGUAGCAGUGAAAUGCGUAGAUAUGUGGAGGAAUACCGAUGGCGAAGGCAGCCCCCUGGGUCGACACUGACGCUCAUGCACGAAAGCGUGGGUAGCAAACAGGAUUAGAUACCCUGGUAGUCG
rnacentral:rRNA from 1 species